rnacentral:tRNA from 1 species
GCCGGCUUAGCUCAGUUGGUAGAGCACCUGUCUUGUAAACAGGGGGUCGUCAGUUCGAACCUGGCAGCCGGCA